CCGGGCCUCCAGCGAGCUCCUCGCGUCCGAGAGGGAGCUAAGGGCUCCCUGGUUCAAAGGGCCGCAGCCCCGAGGGGAUGCCCUCCUCGUAUGCCCCGGGGUGCAGAAGCAGACUGCAGGGCGGUGGGACCAGCCUGGGCCACGGUGAUACUACAACCACUGACUCCCUACACUCACGAGUGUUGAAGACACAGGCACAAGGUCUGGGAGAUUCUGGCACCACAAACACCCGUAGAAUACUGUAUAGUGACUUCUGGAAGGGGUGGCCAGGAGGGAGAUGGAGGCUUCUUCCCGGGCUGUUUUCCUCAUGGUCUUCUGAGGGAAGAUGUCUUUCUACAGUCUACGUCCAGCCUUUUGCAAACUUGUGUUCGACUUUAUUCGAGAUUCGAGUUGUCCCACACUUUAUUCGAGAUUCGAGUUGUCCCACACCCCCUUCUCUGAGAGAGAGAGAGAGAGAGAGAGAGAGAGAGAGAGAGAGAGAACAGCGGCAUUUUUUUCUUCCAAGUUUUUAUUCUUUCUUUUCUUCUGGGCUUGCUGCUUAACAAAGUGGCCACAGUCUUAGUUGUCGAGUGUCUUUCUGAUUUCUCAGGGCUGGGUAAUGUGUCCCCCUGUCCUCCCCCCUCGUAGCAGUUCUAUAAAUGUUUCAAACCAUCUAUAUCCAGUGAAAACUCUCCAGACCUUUAGAGCUUCCACUGCUUAAAGUGCACUGUGGAGUAGGAGCCCCCUACACCCCCAUAAGCACCCCAGCUCGAUGUGGACCUUAUAGGAUUCAGGUUGGCUUGACGAUGGCAGCUCAGGUGGAGGAGGCUGGAGAAGGCUCAAGGGACUUCUGAGGAACCCUGUAACACAAAAGGUGAAGUGUGUUUAUCCCAACUUCAGCCUCAGAAUUCCCUCCAAGAGAGUCAGAGUUGGUGGUUGCCAAAGCUAGCCCCCUCACCCCCACCCCCAAGCUCGUUUGCUUGAAGGGUCCAGCUCAACCCAAGCCCAAAUUAGAAAGAUUUUUGACAGUAUUAAUCAGGGCACUGUGCGAAUUAUUAAAAAGAAACUGCAGUUUCCUCUUCCUUUUCCAAAACUUAUGAAAGAGAAGUGGAUGGGGGGCAAUCUUAUCUAAUUUGGGUGAUCAAGGCAGAGAGAAUAGAUACAUUAUAAAUUCACAGCGUAUGGCACAAAUGUUUCCCGCUUCCUGUGUCCUGCCUGGUAAAACAAAACAAAACAAAAUAAAGCAAAAGAUAGCUGGAAGCUUUGGGGUUCUUGUUUAAUUGGAGAAACUCUAUAAAAAAAAUCCAACAUUUAAAAAAUUAUGACCCCAAACAGGCAAGAUCUCGAACCCAUUUUGCCAGGUUCCCUCCACUACAUAAGAAAGCAGCGCUUCCUAACUUUGUUUUUUCAGCCCCCCUUUUAUGUCCUUUUCGGAACUAGCUCUUCUUUCUCUGUCAAAAUGUGUCUGAUUUUGGUAAAUAUUAAUUAUUCGUUCUCUCUGGAACCCUGUUACAGUCCCUAACCUCCUGGACCAGAGUAUAAACAGACCCCAUCUCCAGUGUCUAACAAAAGUCAGAGAAAGUUCAUUUGGUUAGAACUGGGUCUGAAGCAACACCCUGGGUCCCCAUUGGGUGCUGAAUCACAGCUGCAAAGAUGGAUAUUAAAAUUAAAUAGCCUCAAAACUAAGAACAUGGGGGGGCACUCCACAAGACAGAGGAUUUUUUUUUAAAACUAACAAUGAGGAUGUAAGAUGAAUGUAAUGAGAGAUUUUGCUUCUGUCCUGAUGAACCACUAGCAAUAAUUGAACCAUGAAGAGAAAACUCUGUUUCUCUCCUCUUGCUUUAUUUUCUUAGAAGUCUUUCAGAACUAAACAAAUGCAGGAAAGUUCUUCUCCAAAAGGCUGUCUGCUUACUACUGAUGGAGAGAGGGUUGUGAAAGGAUGUGGUUCUUUUCAUUUAAAGAAUAGCUUAUGAAACAAUUUUUUAAAACCUGUUUAAAAAAGUUCCUUCAUUAUUUUGAUUUUGAAAUGGUUGUGAGAGACAUUUUGUAAACGAAAUGACUUCCUUGGCAUGGUCUAUGGUAAUGUGUAUCCUUAAAUAUCUGAGAGUAUAAUAGGCACCAUUGGGGAAUAGGUGCCAGGUUGGGGAUUGUAUUCUCCGACCUUGUGUGUAUCUGGAAAAAGUAAAAAGCAAAACUUAAUAUUCAUGUCUGUGGUUUUUUCUCUCUCCUUCAAUUUGGAAUCUUGUUCCAAUUUAUACUCCAGAAUCUAACUCCAGUCUUUGAACUUUCAUUUCCUUAUCUGUGUCUAUGUACCACAUCCCCUCUGUUCUCCUGGAAAGGGCAAACUGUUGAAAGAAAGAGGCACACAUCUUGAAUUUCCCCCAGAUCCUUCUAGAAAGAAAAUGAACAGGGAGGGGAGGAUUUGAGGCAAAGGCAGUGGAUGCCUCUGAAAAACAGUUGUACUUAGAAGAAAGGUCACCUACCGACAGUCCAAGAAAGAAAUGUCAUGGUAAGUGAAAUUGCUCCGGUUUAGGUGGUCUUACUGUGGGAAGCAGAUGGGCAGGGGGAGUCUUUGGGAAUUGUAUGAUGGAGCAUGAAGCGAGAGCAAACUUGUAAGGAGCAAUCAAUUCGAAUGGGAUCCUAGGAUCCCUCCUCCAUUCCCAACUUUUGCAAACAUUUCAAGUAUCUUGCUGAAGUUCUGGAAGAUGGCCAGCAAGGAAAGACCAUUUGCUCUGGGAAUGCUGUAGGCUGUCUCACCUCCGUUGGUAUAACAGUUGGAGGGCAUUUGUUGUUUGCCGGUUUUUUUCCUUCCCUUCAGAGACUCGGAAUAACAAACUCAAGUGGUCGACCUCACCCUUGUCUUUCUUCCUUAGCAAACUUGACAACGUGGAAGAAACGUGACAUGUGGAUUAUUAAAGAGCAGCAGGCUGACUUUUAACCCUGGGUGCAUUGCUCAGACCCCAUUACCUGUGCAUUUAUACUGGGAGUGCGUUACAAGAAUUACAGGGUACUAAGCCACAAAGAGGCGAUGAGAAAGCAGAGGUAAGAGGUUGUAAAAAUAUCAGGGAAAGCAGGAUGUGUAUCUUACCAUUUUCAACCCUCAAAUGGAUGGAUAAUGCCUUUCAGAAAAUUAACUGCUCCUUUAAUACCGGGGUCAGUUUCUAAGUCCAAGGAGAAAGAGAUGAAUUUGAAAAAAGUGCACCAUCUUCACUCUGACUCUCCAUGUUUUCAGAGUUUCUUAGGGUUAAAAAAUCCUCUGUUUACUUAAACAAAUUCUUAGCUUCAGGAACAAAAGCCAUCUGCAAGGUUUUUCUUAAGGUCUUUUCUUUCAGAUACAAGUUCUACCUUCAUUCAGUUACAAGCACUUCUCAAACGGUGAGAAACUUUGUUGCUAUGGGUCAUGGUCCACAGAUGUUUCCUAAGUGAAAACUUUGUAAAAGUCAGAGAACUCAGAGAGUAUUUACUUUGCACUGCUAAUAAAAUGAUAAAACAAAACCAGUGGAAAUCAUUCAGGAAAAAGUGUGUGUGUGUGUGUGUGUGUGUGUGUGUGUGUGUGUGUGUGUGUGUUACACUAAUCAAGCCAUUAUUACCCUGUGGGUUUGUAUUUCUGGGCAGCUAUUGAUGGAAUAAAAUAGGGAAGGAUUCAUCAAAUAUCUAGGGUGUUCUUUCAAAAUUAACAAGAAAGGGGUGCACAGUAAGCUAAUAAUAAGAACUGCUAAUAAGAACUGUUACUGUUACUCUUUAGUCCUUUGGGUACCAAUUUGUAUAUCCUGUUGCCAAGGCAAAGGUAAUUAUUGAAUCUAUCCUAAAUCUGAGUGAUGGAGUAGUCAGAAAUGACUCCAUCUGACAGAAGAGCCAGGAGGCAACUGAUGGAUACUAUUGUCCAGAUGUGACCCUCCAUUAACACUACCUAUCAGCAUCUGGAUCCUGUCACUGGUCCCCAUCCCAGAGCCAAGAGGACUGCCUGGCAUAGUCCAAGCAUUUCCAAGGAUUUCUACGCUGCAUUCCACCCUUCACCAAAUGAAUAGGUGAGGAGACUUAACCUAAACCCUGUCCCCCUCUCCAUCUCCACCUGCCUUAUUGCCCCUCUCCAGACCCAUUGUUUGGCAGGUGCUGGCAAUUUACUCCUUAUCUUGCCUGUUUAUGACGGAUUUUUUAAAAUUAAUAACAAAGGGAGAAGUGGUAUUAAUAUUAAUUAACACCAUAAAAUGAAACAGUUUUGGGAUCUCACCCAGUGAAUCCUCACAGUCUCUAAUUGGAGCUUUGGAGAAAGGGGAGGAGGAGAGGGGAAAGGGAGGGGGAUGUGUGUGUGGGGGGGAGAUACAGAUGACCUACUGGGUGACAGGCACAGGUUGGAAGGGUGACAUUUUAUUGUAAGCCUCCCAAUGAAAGGAAGAAAAGGAAGGGACCAGUCAAUUUAAUGCAGGGACCAAGAGUGCAGGAGUGUUGCUAAGAGACAGAGAUGCUGGUAAAGUUCUAUCACAAGCCCUACUCUGACCUUAUGCAAAUAGAGGCGGCCAACUCUUUGUGGAACGGCUGAAAAUUCCACCCCCUGUGUCACCAAUACCUGGCAUCGAGCCUUUCAUUCAAAUGUUCUCUAAACACACACACACACACACACACACACACACACACACACAGAGGAUGUGACAAAGUGUGACACAUCUAGGGGUUUUAACGUACACACACAAACCUCACAAGAAUAUGGGGAAUAGUAAUAGUACUAAUAAUUUUUAAAUGGGAGGGGGCGGUCAAUGGCAGAUCUUCCUGAGGAAUUGUCACCCACCCUUACCUUCUGUCACCGGCAUCUUCCUUUAGCUGUAAAGCAAUCUGACGAGUCAGAAAUUGCCCUCUCCUUGCAGAAAUAGACGCCUAUUAAGAUACUGAGGUAGGUGCUCAGAUAUUGUCAUAGUUCACAGCCGGAGG
rnacentral:lncRNA from 1 species